rnacentral:rRNA from 1 species
CGGCACGGGUGAGUAACACGUAUCCAACCUGCCGUCUACUCUUGGACAGCCUUCUGAAAGGAAGAUUAAUACAAGAUGGCAUCAUGAGUUCACAUGUUCACAUGAUUAAAGGUAUUCCGGUAGACGAUGGGGAUGCGUUCCAUUAGGCAGUUGGCGGGGUAACGGCCCACCAAACCGACGAUGGAUAGGGGUUCUGAGAGGAAGGUCCCCCACAUUGGUACUGAGGCACGGACCAA